rnacentral:tRNA from 1 species
UGGCUCAGGGGAGGAGCUAUUGACUUGUAAUCUGCAGAUCGUGAGUUCGAAUCUCAC